rnacentral:snRNA from 1 species
GUAUAUGAGGGUGAUCUGGCUACAUCAUCGGUCAUCCCAUUGAUCGCCAGGGUUGAGCUGGCUGAUCUGGCUGGCUGGGUAGCAGUCCCCUUCCUCCCUCACCACUCCAUG